UCCAGACUCCUACGGGAGGCAGCAGUGGGGAAUAUUGCACAAUGGGCGCAAGCCUGAUGCAGCCAUGCCGCGGGGAUGAAGAAGGCCUUCGGGUUGUAAAGUACUUUCAGCGGGGAGGAAGGUUUUGCGGUUAAUAACCGCAGCAAUUGACGUUACCCGCAGAAGAAGCACCGGCUAACUCCGUGCCAGCAGCCGCGGUAAUACGGAGGGUGCAAGC
rnacentral:rRNA from 1 species